rnacentral:rRNA from 1 species
AGUGAACGCUGGCGGUAGGCCUAACAUAUGCAAGUCGAACGGCAGCACAGUAAGAGCUUGCUCUUACGGGUGGCGAGUGGCGGACGGGUGAGGAAGACAUCGGAAUCUACUUUUUCGUGGGGGAUAACGUAGGGAAACUUACGCUAAUACCGCAUACGACCUACGGGUGAAAGCAGGGGAUCUUCGGCACUUGCACGAUUGAAUGAGCCGAUGUCGGCUUAGCUAGUUGGCGGGGUAAAGGCCCACCAAGGCGACGAUCCGUAGCUGGUCUGAGAGGAUGAGCAGCCACACUGGAACUGAGACACGGUCCAGACUCCUACGGGAGGCAGCAGUGGGGAAUAUUGGACAAUGGGCGCAAGCCUGAUCCAGCCAUACCGCGUGGGUGAAGAAGGCCUUCGGGUUGUAAAGCCCUUUUGUUGGGAAAGAAAAGCAGCAGGUUAAUACCCCGCUGUUCUGACGGUACCCAAAGAAUAAGCACCGGCUAACUUCGUG